rnacentral:rRNA from 1 species
AUUGAACGCUGGCGGCAUGCUUUACACAUGCAAGUCGAACGGCAGCACGGGUGCUUGCACCUGGUGGCGAGUGGCGAACGGGUGAGUAAUGCAUCGGAACGUGCCCAUGAGUGGGGGAGUANCCGGCGAAAGCCGGAUUAAUACCGCAUACGCCCUUACGGGGAAAGGACGGGGGAGUCUUCGGACCUCGCGCUAUUGGAGCGGCCGAUGUCGGAUUAGCUAGUAGGUGAGGUAAAGGACUCACCUAGGCGACGAUCCGUAGCUGGUCUGAGAGGAUGAUCAGCCACACUGGGACUGAGACACGGCCCAGACUCCUACGGGAGGCAGCAGUGGGGAAGUUUUGG